rnacentral:rRNA from 1 species
UUUCGAUGGUAGUGUAUUGGACUACCAUGGCUCUCACGGGUAACAGGGAAUUAGGGUUCGAUUCUGGAGAAGGAGCCUGAGAAACGGCUACUACAUCUACGGAAGGCAGCAGGCGCGUAAAUUACCCAAUCCUGAAUCAGGGAGGUGGUGACAAGAUAUAACAACGAGACCUUAAAUCUCGAUUGUAGUGAGGGUUUUCUAAAUAGAACCUAUAGUACGAUUAGAGGGCAAGUCUGGUGCCAGCAGCCGCGGUAAUUCCAGCUCUAAUAGCGUAUAUUAAAGUUGCUGCAGUUAAAAAGCUCGUAGUUGGAUUUCAAGGUUUGUAUUCUCUACCGGGAAUACACCCUACUAGUCAUUGACUGUUACUGUGAGAAAAUUAGAGUGUUUCAAGCAGGCUUUUGCAAG